UGGGGAAUUUUGGACAAUGGGGGAAACCCUGAUCCAGCCAUCCCGCGUGUGCGAUGAAGGCCUUCGGGUUGUAAAGCACUUUUGGCAGGAAAGAAACGUCAUGGGUUAAUACCCCGUGAAACUGACGGUACCUGCAGAAUAAGCACCGGCUAACUACGUGCCAGCAGCCGCGGUAAUACGUAGGGUGCAAGCGUUAAUCGGAAUUACUGGGCGUAAAGCGUGCGCAGGCGGUUCGGAAAGAAAGAUGUGAAAUCCCAGAGCUCAACUUUGGAACUGCAUUUUUAACUACAGGGCUAGAGUGUGUCAGAGGGAGGUGGAAUUCCGCGUGUAGCAGUGAAAUGCGUAGAUAUGCGGAGGAACACCGAUGGCGAAGGCAGCCUCCUGGGAUAACACUGACGCUCAUGCACGAAAGCGUGGGGAGCAAACAGG
rnacentral:rRNA from 1 species